UUCCUUUCCAUUUGCACCAAAAAAUUAGAUUACAACAUCAUUGCUAUUGAUGAGGAUACUGCUAUUGAGUAUGACUGCUACAGUAUCUUCGGUGUGACAAACUACUGCAUUCAUUUCCUGUCACGGAUGCCAUCCAUUGAUGGGAGCAAACUUUUUCAAAUGAUCGAACUUGCUGAGGAUUUAGGUCUGAAUAACCAGAACCUCACCUACACCGCUACCAAGCAAGAGGGCUGCUGGUGAACUGCAUAGCAUUUAUUAACGGAAAAACAUUUCUUGAUUACAGAUCUUAUUAAACUUUCAGCUUCAA